UUUUUCUUAUAUGACCGAGAGGAAUCCAUUUGUUCUCUCAUACACAGUUUCAUCCACUUGGUUACCAAAACUACUCCAUGGAUUUCUCUACCACGGAACACAAAUUACAGGAAAGAAACCAGAUUCCUUUUAAACAAAUUAUGUUCCAAAUUUCCAAUUGCAAUCUUAAGUAAAGAAACCACAAUCUUCUUAGAGCUUUGAAUUCCUGUAACACUCUUUCUUCCGUUGGGAUUUCCAGCCCAGCUCCAUGAACUCUAAAAGGACUUCGUCAGCAAACCAAGAGAUGGUUCAUUUCAAUAGCGGAUGAAGAAACAAAGAGGUGAGCAACCGUCAAAGACUUCAAGGCCAUCCAAGAAAUCCAAGCUCCACCAAAAGAACUGACAGCCAUCUUGAGCACAAAUACAGCAACCACUUGUGGCCAAAAAAAGAUGCGCCUGUCGGAAAGAGAUGCUAGACGAGUUGAUAUGAUGUCGGGACCUUCCCCUCCCCCUUCUGAAAUUUACUAGAGGGAGAGGAGAGGAUCUGAUUUCAUACGCGCCGGAGAUACACCGUCGACCCCCCCGCUUGUAAUCGCCUUGAGCUCUAUGCCUUCGUGAGGAGUAAAAGUUAAAAAACGGGUUUUAGGUUAAGGAAAAAUCAUGAGAGAGAAAAAGUAAUGAUUGAC
rnacentral:lncRNA from 1 species